rnacentral:rRNA from 1 species
AGGAUGAACGCUGGCGGUCUGCUUAACACAUGCAAGUCGAACGGGCGUAGCAAUACGUUAGUGGCGGACGGGUGAGUAACGCGUGAGAAUCUACCUUCAGGACGGAGACAACAGUUGGAAACGACUGCUAACCCCCGAUGUACCGAAAGGGCAAAUAUUUAUAGCCUGAAGAAGAGCUCGCGUCCGAUUAGCUAGUUGGAGAGGUAAAAGCUCACCAAGGCGACGAUCGGUAGCUGGUCUGAGAGGAUGAUCAGCCACACUGGGACUGAGACACGGCCCAGACUCCUACGGGAGGCAGCAGUAGGGAAUCUUGCGCAAUGGGCGAAAGCCUGACGCAGCCAUGCCGCGUGAAUGAUGAAGGUCUAGGAUUGUAAAAUUCUUUCAGCGGGGACGAUAAUGACGGUACCCGCAGAAGAAGCCCCGGCUAACUUCGCGCCAGCAGCCGC